rnacentral:lncRNA from 1 species
CUUACUCAGAGGAAGGACUCUCAUCCCACUGCAUUGCUUCCUAGCGCUCUCCUAAACCACAUAGAAAACCAAUUGUCUUCUCCGACCAGCAUGUCAUCUUUUUCUUCCUGGAGUGUCUCUUGCCUGCAACAAACUGGUUCUGGCCUUUGUCCGUCUCGACAUCACUUCCUCCCAGAAGAUAGUUUGACCUUUUCACCUUGGCCGAGGCUGCAGCGUCACUCACAGAUUGAACUGAAAUCUGCUCAUGAAGCAUCAUGUCUAAACGUUGCCUGUCUACUGCUCUGCAUGGGGUUAAAAGGGAUGCAUGCAAGAAAGCCUCUUUUCCCCUGCUUUCUGACCCAGGGGACGUCCCAGGGUGGUUUCCUUCAUCCAGGCGCUGAAGACAAGAGUCUGUCAAAAACUCAGCUGGAGUCAACUGAAAACACUACGAUGGGGUUUCGUGCUGCCAGCAUGGAAGGAAUCGUCUGUCCUGAGAAACCCGAUAAAACCUCGAUGCAAUAAACCACUUUCUCCAAACGUGACUAUAGGAGAUCCAACGUGAUGCUUGGACGGUUUUAAAACAGUUAUAACACAGUGAUGGCCAACAUGUUCCUUUGUGAUUAAAUAAGUUAUGACAAUGAAGAAAAAUUGGUUGGACGGAAGGAUUAAAUAAAGCACAGUCGCGGGAAUCUCAAAGCCCAUAAGGAUGUGAUGCCUGAACAUUCCAGUCCAUCCAUCUGUGAUACUGUUGUUAAUGCUGCCAGAUUAGGCUCCGCACAAUUCCUUUAUUCUGUUCCUCUUUGAUUUCACAAUUAAGAUUGAUACUGUUUGGAUUAGAUCUUGCAUUCCAUUGUUUCACAAACUGCUGUUUUGUUAUGGAAGAAAAAAUGGUAAAUGAAGAAGCUAUUACUGUAAAUAUAAAUGUGAACCUCAGUUUGUCCAUCCCUGAGCCUUAUAGAUGUGUAUAAAGGCAGUGAAAACUCUACGUUAUGACUUUACAUUAUCCAGUAAAAUGACUCAAUAACUGCACUGAGCUACUUACUGUAAAUUUUACGCAUUAUUACAUUGACAUUGGUGUACAGCAUGUUAAUUACUGAGUUGUAAAGUUGAAUAACAAUAAUUAUAUGCAUUUAAUGUACAGCUGGUGCAUUUUAAUUUUAUUGGGCCUGCCAUGCUAACCAUAGUGACUGUUGUUGCGUUGUUUUCUCUCCUUUCAUUUAUGCUUCGAUGCUUCUUUACCACCCAUCCAACAUCUGAUAUUCAUGCAAAUUUGUGUUUCUUUUAGAAUAAAAGUCCACUCAAUGAAUCGGCUGAUAGGUGGAGCGGAAUCUCUGAUGAGCUCUGAUUAAUUUCAUGUCCCUUAAGGUCUAAUCGCCC